ensembl:lncRNA
CUUCAGCCUUGAGCAAGUCACAUACCUUCUCAGACAACAGAGCUGCCUCAGCAAAUGGGGUGGAAGCCUGGGGCUGUUUCUUGCUCUGGAAGGCCUUUCUUUGUACAAAGUGGAGCAUGAAGGCCUGCUUACAGAGAAGGGGUGUUUUGCAAAUGACCAGACGUCUUGAACUGAUGGUGAGCAAGCUGAAACUUGGAAACUGAUGUGGUUUUGUUUUUGUUUUCCUGAUAUUUUGAAUUAGACAGUCAAGAACCAGCAGCUUUCACUUCCAAAUCCUGAAUCUGGGUUUCUUUUGAAAAUUCAGAUGCUCUGGUCCCAGUGGCCUUUGUGGGACCAUGUGUCCUGCCUGGUCACAUGUCACCCGAAGCUGAGGCGUGGCCACUGCCUUUGGGCAAAGUCAGUUUUCCAUCUCCCACCUGGCCUAGCACACUCCUUUGCCUGAUUGCUCAUCUCUGGGAUGGCCCUGCCUGGGCGAGCUUGGCCAGCGCUGGCCUCCUGAAUCUCCAGAUCCUCAGCUCUGGAGUUGCCAUGGCGAUGUUGGCUGAGGGAGGAACUGAUGACCAGGAGUGGCUGUGCUGACCAACGGAGCGUUGAGAGUCGGGCGAGUCCCUGCAGCUGCCGCCUCGCUGAUGAACUCCAAGGCAGGGGAGUUCAUGGGCUUUCCUGGAGACAAGGAAGAAGAAAACAACAGAAGGCUUAGCUGCAAGUGUGAAUUCAUGUCCAAGGAUUCAUGAAAGCAGCAUAGACUGAGAAAGGGAAAGAUGGGUAGAUGUCCCAGAAAAUUCAGGUUAAAAAGAC